UAGACAGACAGAUUGCUGAGAGUAGGGAAAGCUUGUGAUUUACUUGUGUUGUUGCUGAAGGCAUGCUUGUCUUGUUGUCUCAAGCUGCUGUAGUAGAACAAGCCAAUGCUACAUGUGGGAGUAAGCCUACAAUGGACUGCGCCUUCUUCGAGCAGCAUAUAAUCUACUGCUUUAGCACGAUGUGAAAUGUAACCUGCUCGCAAUCCUGUUAUGAGGAUUUUUGAUUGUUGAAAAAAAAAAAGACAGAUGAAAUUCCUCGACCCACUCACACUCGGCUUGCCUUUCUGAGGAGCCUUGACUUUGAUACAUUAUCAAGUUCAAGAGAAUGAUUCUCCUCAUAUCGGCUUACAGUCAUGCCGAUGGAAGCUUCGCCAAAUUCUGAGCAAGUCGGUUCUUGCAGUAUAUGUCGUAAAGGGAUAUCAAUCACAUAGAGGGGAUGGUGAAAGAUCCAGGCUCUUGCCAUUGUUUCCAUUGUUGGGAAAUACCUGUUUUUCAUGUUCUGAUGACCGCUUUCCUCAUUCAGAGCAAAAGCCAUGACUUCCUGCCAUCUGGCAGAGCUGUGAAACAGAUGCUGGGAGAAGCAUUAACAAAAGAGAGAGAAGCACUUCUGACCGUGAGCCCCUUUGCUUGGCAAGUCCUGAAGAAUGCAAAGGCACACUUCAGCUGGCCGGGCAUUAAUGACAGAAGAAGCUGGGAGGAGACGGGAUCACAACAGCAUCAGCGUUGGUAAUCAUCAGCAGAAGAUGAAAUGUGUGCUUUGACAGCAUGGCGAGCAUGUGGUCAGAUCCAGAUAUUAUGAGAACGCAGUGAUGACAUCUGGAUCCAACACAAUCCCACUUUGGAGCAGAGUGUAGUGCAGAGGCUUAUGGGUUGUAGCACUGUGACCUUUCUGUGCACUUCAUUAAAACAAAACGAAGGACUUUCAUUUAAGGAUUUUUUUUGCAUGCGAAACCUCCUUUCCUGACCCCUCAGCCUACAUGUAAGCUUCCGGUAGAAAAAAAAAGAGGUUUAUGUUUUGGUUAGUGGAACUCAAAUUGGAAAGAUCUGUCCAUCUGCAGAGAAGUGAAUGAACCUGCAGCCUAAACACUGACCUUGUCCUAGAGCAGGGAUCCCCAACCACCAGGCCAAGGACCAGUACCAGGCUGUGGAUCAUUUGGGUACUGGGCCAGACAGAAAGAAUAAAAACUUACAAUUAAAAUGUUGUAUAUCUAUAUUAUUAACUUCUUCAUAUUUAAAUUAUUUUAUUCCGCAACUUAUAGCAUUUACAGUUUUUUUUCUAUGCAUCGAUAAAUUAAACUCCCACUGACUCUGUAUGUGGUGAAUCGAGUUACAUUUAUAUUAUAUAUGUAAUAAUUAAAUGAAUAAUUAAAUCAUCUGAUAUAAUACACACAUUAUUGUGUUUAGUUAUGCGCGUGCCCCACACCCGUCCGUGGAAGAAAUUGUCUUGCGUGAAACUGGUCCAAGGUGCAAAAUGUUUGGGGAGUGCUGUCCUGAAGCAGAUGGCCAUCACUGAGUAUUAUUUGGUCAAAUUUAGGCCUGAAUCGGUGGAAAGAUGGGAUCAGAACUAUAUUUAUAACAACGGUCCCAAAUUGUAUGUUAGAUGAUGGUUGAGUCUGAAAACACACAGGCUGUCCGGUUGGCUGAUGGCGUGUGAUUGGCUUCGGACGGCGCGUUUUAGCGACACUUUUGUAUUGUAAUGGAGAAGUAACGUGGCCGCGUGACGUCCCUUCAAAUUUAUGGUGAUUUUCAACCUCAGUGUGCGGUGAUGCACAGAGAGAGAGAGAGAGAGAGAGAGAGAGAGAGAGAGAGAGAGCUGGCAGGAGAAGAGCUGAAUCAAAUGAAAUCUGAAAUACCACACACGCGCGAUGCUGCAAGACAGGCAAAGGCGGAGAAAAUGUGGAGUUAAAUAUCAUAUCAAAUAAUCAUGUUUUUAAAAGAAAUCAUAUUAAGGUUGUUAAGAGGUGCGGUACAAAAUGUCAGAGCCGUGUUAGUUUCACGUGCUGUCUCGUAGAUGCGAAGCGACGAGCCGACAGCGCGCGCGCUCGCUCGUUCUCUCUCUCUCUCUCUCUCACACACACACACACACACACACACACACACACACACACUCUCUCUCUCUCUCUCUCUCUCUCUCUCUUUCUCACUCACUCAGGGGUAUUUCCUUCCACGGAGAACAAGGUAGGGGCGGGCACGAGUCCGAGGCGUUUCGCCAAUCUCCUCACAAAAGGAGGAGCUUAAUGAUGCUUUUGUAGCCAAUAGAAGCUUUGGGACAAUCUCACACCCCACGUGGGACAGAAAUCCUGUGCGUAUGAACGGACAGGCAUUGAGUCCACUCUAGCCAAUCAUUGAGGAGCAAAGUGUUAAUCUCAACCCGGAUUGGUCGGCGAUUUCUUGCGGCUGUCUAUUCAUCUUAAUGUGCUCGACUUUUAACCCAUUCCUCCCUAACAUUUGGGUUUGCCUAUUUUCACUUUCUUAAAUAUUAUGCUUCAUAUGACUAUUAUUGUAAUGUAUUUGACUGAUAUAUUAUAUACAUUAUAAAUUAUAAUUCAAUAUACAAUAGUAUAAAGAAGAGCAGAAUCAAAAUAUAGUCUCAAAAUAACCUUAAUG